rnacentral:rRNA from 1 species
GAGUUUGAUCAUGGCUCAGGAUGAACGCUAGCGGCAGGCUUAAUACAUGCAAGUCGUGGGGCAGCACAGGUAGCAAUACUGGGUGGCGACCGGCAAACGGGUGCGGAACACGUACGCAACCUUCCUUUAACUGGAGAAUAGCCCCUCGAAAGAGGGAUUAAUACUCCGUAACAUAAUGAUAAGGCAUCUUAUUAUUAUUAUAGCUCCGGCGGUUAAAGAUGGGCGUGCGCCUGAUUAGAUAGUUGGCGGGGUAAUGGCCCACCAAGUCUGCGAUCAGUAACUGGUGUGAGAGCACGACCAGUCACACGGGCACUGAGACACGGGCCCGACUCCUACGGGAGGCAGCAGUAAGGAAUAUUGGUCAAUGGACGCAAGUCUGAACCAGCCAUGCCGCGUGGAGGAUUAAGGCCCUCUGGGUUGUAAACUCCUUUUAUCUGGGAAGAAAUCCAUGUAUUCUUAUGUGGUUGACGGUACCAGAGGAAUAAGCACCGGCAAACUCCGUGCCAGCAGCCGCGGUAAUACGGAGGGUGCAAGCGUUAUCCGGAUUCACUGGGUUUGAAGGGUGCGUAGGCGGGUAAGUAAGUCCGUGGUGAAAUCUCUGAGCUUAACUCAGAAACUGCCGUGGAUACUAUUUGCCUUGAAUAUUGUGGAGGUGAGCGGAAUAUGUCAUGUAGCGGUGAAAUGCUUAGAUAUGACAUAGAACACCA